rnacentral:rRNA from 1 species
CUCCUACGGGAGGCAGCAGUGGGGAAUAUUGCACAAUGGGCGCAAGCCUGAUGCAGCGACGCCGCGUGAGGGAUGACGGCCUUCGGGUUGUAAACCUCUUUCAGCAGGGAAGAAGCGAAAGUGACGGUACCUGCAGAAGAAGCGCCGGCUAACUACGUGCCAGCAGCCGCGGUAAUACGUAGGGCGCGAGCGUUGUCCGGAAUUAUUGGGCGUAAAGAGCUUGUAGGCGGUUUGUUGCGUCUGCUGUGAAAGACCGGGGCUUAACCCCGGUAUUGCAGUGGGUACGGGCAGACUAGAGUGCAGUAGGGGAGACUGGAAUUCCUGGUGUAGCGGUGAAAUGCGCAGAUAUCAGGAGGAACACCAGUGGCGAAGGCGACUUUCUGGUCUGUAACUGACACUGAGGCGCGAAAGCGUGGGGAGCAAACAGGAUUAGAUACCCUGGUAGUCCGCGCCGUAAACGAUGAGUGCUAAGUGUUAGAGGGUUUCCGCCCUUUAGUGCUGAAGUUAACGCAUUAAGCACUCCGCCUGGGGAGUACGGCCGCAAGGCUGAAACUCAAAGGAAUUGACGGGGGCCCGCACAAGCAGUGGAGCAUGUGGUUUAAUUCGAAGCAACGCGAAGAACCUUACCAGGACUUGACAUCCCAUAGACCAGUCUAGAGAUAGACUUUCCCUUCGGGGCUGUGGUGACAGGUGGUGCAUGGUUGUCGUCAGCUCGUGUCGUGAGAUGUUGGGUUAAGUCCCGCAACGAGCGCAACCCUUACUUUGUGUUGCCAGCAUUCAGUUGGGCACUCACAAGGGACUGCCGCCGAUAAGGCGGAGGAAGGUGGGGAUGACGUCAAAUCAUCAUGCCCCUUAUGUCCUGGGCUACACACGUGCUACAAUGGGCGGUACAACGGGAUGCGAAGCCGCGAGGUGGAGCCAAACCCUGAAAACCGUUCGUAGUUCGGAUUGUAGGCUGCAACUCGACUACAUGAAGCCGGAAUCGCUAGUAAUCGCGAAUCAGAAUGUCGCGGUGAAUACGUUUCCGGGCCUUGUACACACCGCCCGU